CAAUAGCGUAUAUUAACGUUGUUGCAGUUAAAAAGCUCGUAGUUGGAUUUCUGGAGGGAGCGUCGACCCGUAUUUACGAGUGCGUGACGUCUCUGUCCAUCCUUGCGGGAAGGCACGGCAUUGAUUUGUUGUGUCGGAUCGCAUCAUUUACUGUGAAAAAAUUAGAGUGUUCAAAGCAGGCUUUCGCUUGAAUACAUUAGCAUGGAAUAAUAAGAUAGGACUUUGGUGCUAUUUUGUUGGUUGAGCCUAAAGUAAUGAUUAAUAGGGAUAGUUGGGGGCACCUGUAUUGCGUUGUCAGAGGUGAAAUUCUUGGAUUUACGCAAGACAAACAGCUGCGAAAGCGUCUGCCAAGGAUGUUUUCAUUAA
rnacentral:rRNA from 1 species